GACGAACGCUGGCGGCGUGCUUAACACAUGCAAGUCGAACGGAAAGGCCCCUUUGGGGGUCCUCGAGUGGCGAACGGGUGAGUAACACGUGAGUAACCUGCCCUUGACUUCGGGAUAACUUCAGGAAACUGGGGCUAAUACCGGAUAGGAAUCCUUGCUGCAUGGUGGGGGUUGGAAAGCUUCGGCGGUUUUGGAUGGACUCGCGGCUUAUCAGCUUGUUGGUGGGGUAGUGGCUUACCAAGGCUUUGACGGGUAGCCGGCCUGAGAGGGCGACCGGCCACAUUGGGACUGAGAUACGGCCCAGACUCCUACGGGAGGCAGCAGUGGGGAAUAUUGCACAAUGGGCGGAAGCCUGAUGCAGCAACGCCGCGUGCGGGAUGACGGCCUUCGGGUUGUAAACCUCUUUCAGCAGGGGCGAAGCUUGUGGUGACGGUACCUGCAGAAGAAGCACCGGCUAACUACGUG
rnacentral:rRNA from 1 species